UCACUGGGAAUGUAAUAGCUAU
rnacentral:miRNA from 1 species